GCACCCUUAGCUCAGUUGGUAGAGCAACUGACUCUUAAUCAGUGGGUCUAGGGUUCG
rnacentral:tRNA from 1 species